CCUACGGGAGGCAGCAGUAGGGAAUAUUGCUCAAUGGGGGAAACCCUGAAGCAGCAACGCCGCGUGGAGGAUGAAGGUUUUAUGAUUGUAAACUCCUUUUGUUAGAGAAGAUUAUGACGGUAUCUAACGAAUAAGCACCGGCUUACUCCGUGCCAGCCGCCGCGGUACUACGGAGGGUGCAAGCGUUACUCGGAAUCACUGGGCGUAAAGAGUGCGUAGGCGGGGUAAUAAGUCAGAUGUGAAAUUCUGUAGCUUAACUACAGAACUGCAUUUGAAACUGUUGCUCUGGAGUGUGGGAGAGGUAGGUGGAAUUCUUGGUGUAGGGGUAAAAUCCGUAGAGAUCAAGAGGAAUACUCAUUGCGAAGGCGACCUGCUGGAACAUUACUGACGCUGAUGCACGAAAGCGUGGGUAGCAAACAGGAUUAGAUACCCUUGUAGUC
rnacentral:rRNA from 1 species